GGUUUACCUGUGUGACUGCGUACCUUUUGUAUAAUGGGUCAGCGACUUAUAUUCUGUAGCAAGGUUAACCGUAUAGGGGAGCCGUAGGGAAACCGAGUCUUAACCGGGCGUUAAGUUGCAGGGUAUAGACCCGAAACCCGGUGAUCUAGCCAUGGGCAGGUUGAAGGUUGGGUAACACUAACUGGAGGACCGAACCGACUAAUGUUGAAAAAUUAGCGGAUGACCUGUGGCUGGGGGUGAAAGGCCAAUCAAACCGGGAGAUAGCUGGUUCUCCCCGAAAGCUAUUUAGGUAGCGCCUCGUGAAUUCAUCUCCGGGGGUAGAGCACUGUUUCGGCUAGGGGGCCAUCCCGGCUUACCAACCCGAUGCAAACUGCGAAUACCGGAGAAUGUUAUCACGGGAGACACACGGCGGGUGCUAACGUCCGUCGUGAAGAGGGAAACAACCCAGACCGCCAGCUAAGGUCCCAAAGUCAUGGUUAAGUGGGAAACGAUGUGGGAAGGCCCAGACAGCCAGGAUGUUGGCUUAGAAGCAGCCAUCAUUUAAAGAAAGCGUAAUAGCUCACUGGUCGAGUCGGCCUGCGCGGAAGAUGUAACGGGGCUAAACCAUGCACCGAAGCUGCGGCAGCGACGCUGAUGCGUUGUUGGGUAGGGGAGCGUUCUGUAAGCCUG
rnacentral:rRNA from 1 species